CGAAUGCUGACAUAAGUAACGAUAAAGCGGGUGAAAAGCCCGCUCGCCGGAAGACCAAGGGUUCCUGUCCAACGUUAAUCGGGGCAGGGUGAGUCGACCCCUAAGGCGAGGCCGAAAGGCGUAGUCGAUGGGAAACAGGUUAAUAUUCCUGUACUUGGUGUUACUGCGAAGGGGGGACGGAGAAGGCUAUGUUGGCCGGGCGACGGUUGUCCCGGUUUAAGCGUGUAGGCUGGUUUUCCAGGCAAAUCCGGAAAAUCAAGGCUGAGGCGUGAUGACGAGGCACUACGGUGCUGAAGCAACAAAUGCCCUGCUUCCAGGAAAAGCCUCUAAGCAUCAGGUAACAUCAAAUCGUACCCCAAACCGACACAGGUGGUCAGGUAGAGAAUACCAAGGCGCUUGAGAGAACUCGGGUGAAGGAACUAGGCAAAAUGGUGCCGUAACUUCGGGAGAAGGCACGCUGAUAUGUAGGUGAAGUCCCUCGCGGAUGGAGCUGAAAUCAGUCGAAGAUACCAGCUGGCUGC
rnacentral:rRNA from 1 species